CCUACGGGCGGCAGCAGUGAGGAAUAUUGGUCAAUGGCCGAGAGUCUGAACCAGCCAAGUAGCGUGAAGGCUGCCUGCCCUAUGGGUUGUAAACUUCUUUUAUCUGGGAAUAAAAUGUUCCACGUGUGGGAUUUUGUAUGUACCAUAUGAAUAAGGAUCGGCUAACUACGUGCCCGCAGCCGCGGUAAUACGGAGGAUCCGAGCGUUAUCCGGAUUUAUUGUGUUUAAAGGGAGCGUAGGCGGAUUGUUAAGUCAGUUGUGAAAGUUGACGGUUCAACCGUAAAAUUGCAGUUGAUACUGGCAGUCUUGAGUACAGUAGAGGGAGGGGGAAUGCGUGGUGUAGCGGUGAAAUGCGUAGAUAUCAAGAAGAAUUCCGAGUGCGAAGGCAGCUCACUGGACUGCAACUGACACUGAGGCUCGAAAGUGUGGGUAUCAAACAGGAGUAGAUACCCUAGUAGUC
rnacentral:rRNA from 1 species